AUUGAACGCUGGCGGCAUGCCUUACACAUGCAAGUCGAACGGCAGCGGGGGAGCUUGCUCCUGCCGGCGAGUGGCGAACGGGUGAGUAAUGCAUCGGAACGUGUCCUGUCGUGGGGGAUAACUGGCCGAAAGGUCAGCUAAUACCGCAUGAGACCCCGAGGGUGAAAGCGGGGGAUCGCAAGACCUCGCGCGACUGGAGCGGCCGAUGUCUGAUUAGCUGGUUGGUGGGGUAAAAGCUUACCAAGGCGACGAUCAGUAGCUGGUCUGAGAGGAUGAUCAGCCACAUUGGGACUGAGACACGGCCCAGACUCCUACGGGAGGCAGCAGUGGGGAAUUUUGGACAAUGGGGGGAAACCCGUGAUCCAGCCAUGCCGCGUGCGGGAUGAAGGCCUUCGGGUUGUAAAGCUCUGUCUUCAGGGACGGAUAAUGACGGUACCUGAGGAGGAA
rnacentral:rRNA from 1 species